rnacentral:lncRNA from 1 species
GCCGGAGGAGCUGCAACAACCAAGGUCCUCUAUGGAGCGUCAGGGCUCCAUGUUGGGUUCCUUGCCAGCCGCGGAGGCCUCGGUGAUGUCCCUAGGCGACGAGCUGCCGUCUAUGGGUCAAGUUGGUGGCCUCAGCGGCGGCUUGUGGGGGUACGACGACGGCCUGUACGAUAUGGACGACAGCGUCAGCAUGGAUGCGGGCAUGUUUGAAGCGUCGUCGCCGCCUCCGCCGCAGCUGC